GAUGAAGAACGUAGCGAAAUGCGAAAAGUAGUGUGAAUUGCAGAAUUCAGUGAAUCAUCGAAUCUUUGAACGCACAUUGCGCCCACUAGUAUUCUGGUGGGCAUGCCUGUUCGAGCGUCAUUUCAACCCUCAAGCCUCAGUUGCUUGGUGUUGGGAGCUUAUCUUUGCCGAAAGGCGGACAACUCCUUAAAACUAUUGGCGGAGUCGCGGUGACCCCAAGCGUAGUAAAUUUUUUUUCUCGCUUUAGGUAUCAACGCUGGCUUUCUAGCCGUUAAACCCUCUAAAUCUUUAGUGGUUGACCUCGGAUCAGGUAGGACUACCCGCUGAACUUAAGCAUAUCAAUAAGCGGAGGA
rnacentral:misc_RNA from 1 species